GACGAACGCUGGCGGCGUGCUUAACACAUGCAAGUCGAACGGAAAGGCCCUGCUUUUGUGGGGUGCUCGAGUGGCGAACGGGUGAGUAACACGUGAGUAACCUGCCCUUGACUUUGGGAUAACUUCAGGAAACUGGGGCUAAUACCGGAUAUGAGCUCCUGCUGCAUGGUGGGGGUUGGAAAGUUUCGGCGGUUGGGGAUGGACUCGCGGCUUAUCAGCUUGUUGGUGGGGUAGUGGCUUACCAAGGCUUUGACGGGUAGCCGGCCUGAGAGGGUGACCGGCCACAAUGGGACUGAGAGACGGCCCAGACGCCUACGGGAGGCAGCAGUGGGGAAUAUUGCACAAUGGGCGGAAGCGUGAUGCAGCAACGCCGCGUGCGGGAUGACGGCCUUCGGGUUGUAAACCGCUUUCGCCUGUGACGAAGCGUGAGUGACGGUAAUGGGUAAAGAAGCACCGGCUAACUACGUG
rnacentral:rRNA from 1 species